rnacentral:sRNA from 1 species
GGUGAGCCUGUAAAGUUUUAGGAUCAAGGUUAAAGGCCCUUUUUUGCUCUCUUCUCUCUUGGACCUUCAGGCGACGGCUUGGUAGAGACGGGGUUCCACCGUGUUAGCCAGGAUGGUCUCGAUCUCCUGACCUCGUCAUCCUCCCGCCUUGGCCUCCCAAAGUGCUGGGAUUACAGGCUUGAGCCACCGCGCCCCGCUCUUUCGUGUUCCAAAGGCUUUUUAAAUAAACUUCCACUCCUGUCCUGGAUUCUGCUUUAUGGCCCUCAGUCGAAUUCUUUCUUCUGAGGAGGCAAGGACUGAAGUUGCUUCUGACCAGUACAGGAGAAAACGAAUACAGCAGGGAUGACUUCCACCAGCUCCACUUUGCAGCUCUGAGGUGUAUUAAAAAUUUGUUUUUCAGAAACCUAGAGCCCCACCAAAUGAAUCCGCUGGCACGUGGACCUCAGAUGGGGGAAACUGAGGACUGAAUUCUGACCACCCUCCUUUGUUCUAAAUUUCUUCCUGAAGGACCUGGAAGAAGUCAUGCCACGGGCCAGACCUUAACAUUCCUUUCGGCUUACCCCAGGAUUUCAGACGAAGCUUCACUUUCCUAACCAGUCACAAAUCAGAGAAUUUUUGAUUCCACCUAUGACCUGUGAGCUCCUGCUUCAAGAUAUUCCACCUUUUUUAGGCCAAACCAAUGUAUAACCUCCAAGUGUCGAUUUACACUUUCGACUGUAACUUCUGCUUUCCUGAGAUUUACCCCUGCCUUUAAAAACCCUUGCUUGUAAUCCCUCAGGGAGGCCGUGUAUUUAUUAAUCAUGAGCUGCCCAAUUCUCCUUGCUUGGUGCCCUGCAAAUAAACACCCUCUUUUCUCCCACUGCAAAA